rnacentral:rRNA from 1 species
GAUGAACGCUGGCGGCGUGCCUAAUACAUGCAAGUCGAGCGAACGGACGAGAAGCUUGCUUCUCUGAUGUUAGCGGCGGACGGGUGAGUAACACGUGGAUAACCUACCUAUAAGACUGGGAUAACUUCGGGAAACCGGAGCUAAUACCGGAUAAUAUUUUGAACCGCAUGGUUCAAAAGUGAAAGACGGUCUUGCUGUCACUUAUAGAUGGAUCCGCGCUGCAUUAGCUAGUUGGUAAGGUAACGGCUUACCAAGGCAACGAUGCAUAGCCGACCUGAGAGGGUGAUCGGCCACACUGGAACUGAGACACGGUCCAGACUCCUACGGGAGGCAGCAGUAGGGAAUCUUCCGCAAUGGGCGAAAGCCUGACGGAGCAACGCCGCGUGAGUGAUGAAGGUCUUCGGAUCGUAAAACUCUGUUAUUAGGGAAGAACAUAUGUGUAAGUAACUGUGCACAUCUUGACGGUACCUAAUCAGAAAGCCACGGCUAACUACGUGCCAGCAGCCGCGGUAAUACGUAGGUGGCAAGCGUUAUCCGGAAUUAUUGGGCGUAAAGCGCGCGUAGGCGGUUUUUUAAGUCUGAUGUGAAAGCCCACGGCUCAACCGUGGAGGGUCAUUGGAAACUGGAAAACUUGAGUGCAGAAGAGGAAAGUGGAAUUCCAUGUGUAGCGGUGAAAUGCGCAGAGAUAUGGAGGAACACCAGUGGCGAAGGCGACUUUCUGGUCUGUAACUGACGCUGAUGUGCGAAAGCGUGGGGAUCAAACAGGAUUAGAUACCCUGGUAGUCCACGCCGUAAACGAUGAGUGCUAAGUGUUAGGGGGUUUCCGCCCCUUAGUGCUGCAGCUAACGCAUUAAGCACUCCGCCUGGGGAGUACGACCGCAAGGUUGAAACUCAAAGGAAUUGACGGGGACCCGCACAAGCGGUGGAGCAUGUGGUUUAAUUCGAAGCAACGCGAAGAACCUUACCAAAUCUUGACAUCCUUUGACAACUCUAGAGAUAGAGCCUUCCCCUUCGGGGGGCAAAGUGACAGGUGGUGCAUGGUUGUCGUCAGCUCGUGUCGUGAGAUGUUGGGUUAAGUCCCGCAACGAGCGCAACCCUUAAGCUUAGUUGCCAUCAUUAAGUUGGGCACUCUAAGUUGACUGCCGGUGACAAACCGGAGGAAGGUGGGGAUGACGUCAAAUCAUCAUGCCCCUUAUGAUUUGGGCUACACACGUGCUACAAUGGACAAUACAAAGGGCAGCGAAACCGCGAGGUCAAGCAAAUCCCAUAAAGUUGUUCUCAGUUCGGAUUGUAGUCUGCAACUCGACUACAUGAAGCUGGAAUCACUAGUAAUCGUAGAUCAGCAUGCUACGGUGAAUACGUUCCCGGGUCU